AACGAACGCUGGCGUGCAUGCUUAACACAUGCAAGUCGAGACGACGGGCUUCGGCCCAUAGAUGUGCGNGCGGGUGAGUAACGCGUGGGAACCGUGCCUUGGAGUGGGGCGAUAACCACUGGAAACAGUGUGGCUAAUACCAGCAUGUGCCCCUGCGGGGCAAAGGCUUCGGCCGCUUUGAGAGGGGCCCGCGUCCGACUUAGCUAGUUUGUGGGGUAACGGCCUACCAAGGCUGCGAUCGGUAUGCUGGUCUGAGAGGAUGAUCACGCCACACUGGGACUGCGACACGGCCCAGACUCCUACGGUGAGGCAGCAGUGGGGAAUAUUGGACAAUGGGGGAAACCCUGAUCCAGUCAAUGCCGCGUGCAUACGAAGCCUUCGUGGUUGUAAAGCGCUUUCGCCCGCGACAGAUAUACAGUAUCGGGAGAAGAAGCCCCGGCUAACUCCGUGCCAGCAGCCGCGGUAAUACGGAGGGGGCUAGUCGUUGUUCGGAAUUACUGGGCGUCAAUUGGUGAGUAGCGUAUCCAAUCAAGUAAGCCUGGGCUCAACCCGGAACUGCUUUUGAACUGGGUGGCUGGAGUCCGGGAGAGGUGAGCGGAAUUCCCAGUGUAAAGGUUAAUCGUAAAUAUUGGGAAAGAANCAACCGGUUGGCGAAAGGGCGGGCUCAUUGAACCCGGGUACUGACGCUGAAGGCACAGAAAAGCGUUGGGGAGCAAAAACAGGAUUAGAUACCCCUGUGUAGUCCACCCCGUUAAAACGAAUUGUGCGCUAGACGCAGGGGGUUUCAGCCUUUGUGUCGCAGCCAACGCGAUAAAGCGCACCGCCUUGGGGAGUACGGCCGCAAGGUUAAAACUCAAAGGAAUUGACGGGGGCCCGCACAACGGUGGAGCAUGUGGUUUUAUUUCGACGCAACGCGCAGAACCUUUACCAGCCCUUGAACAUGUCCGUCGCGGGCCCCUGAGAGGGGNUCNUUCGGUUUCGCCCGGGACGGAACACAGGUUGCUUGCAUGGCUUGUCGUCAGCUUCGUUUCGUGAGAUGUUGGGUUAAGUCCCCGCAACGAAGCGCAACCCNUAUCNUCCAGUUGCCAUUCGGNUUAUGCCCGGGCAAUUNUGGGGAAACCGCCGUUGACAAAGCCGGAGGAAGCGGGGAUGACNUCAAGUCUUCAUGGCCCUUAUGGGUUGGGCUACACAACGUUGCUACAAUGCCGNUGACAGUUGGGCAGCGAAGGGGCGAACNUGGAGCGAAUCCCCAAAAGCCCUUUUCAGUUCGGAUUGCCACUUCUUGCCAACUUCGGGUUGCCAUUGAAGUUCGGAAUUCGCUUAGUAAUCGCGGAUUCAGCACGCCGCCGGUGAAUACGUUCCCGGGCCUUGUACACACCGCCCGUCACACCAUGGGAGUUGGUUCUACCCGAAGCCGUGCGCCAACCGCAAGGAGGCAGCCGACCACGGUAGGGUCAGCGACUGGGGUGAAGUCGUACAAGUAGCCGUAGGGGAACCUGCGGCUGGAUCACCUCCUU
rnacentral:rRNA from 1 species